GACGAACGCUGGCGGCGUGCUUAACACAUGCAAGUCGAACGGAAAGGCCCUGCUUUUGUGGGGUGCUCGAGUGGCGAACGGGUGAGUAACACGUGAGUAACCUGCCCUUGACUUUGGGAUAACUUCAGGAAACUGGGGCUAAUACAGGAUAGGAGCUCCUGCUGCAUGGUGGGGGGUGGAAAGUUUCGGCGGUUGGGGAUGGACUCGCGGCUUAUCAGCUUGUUGGUGGGGUAGUGGCUUACCAAGGCUUUGACGGGUAGCCGGCCUGAGAGGGUGACCGGCCACAUUGGGACUGAGAUACGGCCCAGACUCCUACGGGAGGCAGCAGUGGGGAAUAUUGCACAAUGGGCGGGAGCCUGAUGCAGCAACGCCGCGUGCGGGAUGACGGCCUUCGGGUUGUAAACCGCUUUCGCCUGUGACGAAGCGUGAGUGACGGUAAUGGGUAAAGAAGCACCGGCUAACUACGUG
rnacentral:rRNA from 1 species